rnacentral:rRNA from 1 species
UUGAACGCUGGCGGAAUGCUUUACACAUGCAAGUCGAGCGGCAGCGCGGGGCAACCUGGCGGCGAGCGGCGAACGGGUGAGUAACACAUCGGAACGUACCCAAUUGUGGGGGAUAACGAAUCGAAAGAUUCGCUAAUACCGCAUAAGACCUGAGGGUGAAAGCGGGGGAUCGCAAGACCUCGCGCGACUGGAGCGGCCGAUGUCGGAUUAGCUAGUUGGUGGGGUAAAGGCUCACCAAGGCGACGAUCCGUAGCGGGUCUGAGAGGACGGCCCGCCACACUGGAACUGAGACACGGUCCAGACUCCUACGGGAGGCAGCAGUGGGGAAUUUUGGACAAUGGGGGCAACCCUGAUCCAGCCAUUCCGCGUGAGUGAAGAAGGCCUUCGGGUUGUAAAGCUCUUUCUGCAGGAACGAAACGGUCCUAGUUAAUACCUGGGGCUAAUGACGGUACCUGAAGAAGAAGCACCGGCUAACUACGU